rnacentral:rRNA from 1 species
ACGGGUAGCAAAGUAUGAGAGCUUGGUGGCUGACACAGCGGAGGGCGGGUGAAUUUACGUGGGUAACCUGCCUGUAAGACUGGGAUAACUCCGGGAAACCGGGGCUAAUACCGGAUGCUUGAUUGAACCGCAUGGUUCAAUUAUAAAAGGUGGCUUCUGCUAACGACUACCGAAGGACCCGCGGCGCAAUAACUAAGUGGUGAAGUAACCGCUCCACCAAGGCACGAAGGCUAAGCCAACUGAAAAGGUGAACCGCCACACUGGGACUGAAACACCGCCCAAACUCCUACGGGAAGCAACAAUAAGGAAUCCUCCGCAAUGGACGAAAGUCCGAACGAACCACGCCGCCUGAGUGAAGAAAGUUUUCCGAACCGAAAACUCUGGUGGUAAGGAAAAACCAGUAACGGUCGAAUAAGGCGGGAACUUGAAGGGAACUAAACAAAAAGGCACGGGUAACUAACUUGCAGCCGCCCCCGUAAUACCUAAGUGGCAAGCGUUUGCCCGAAUUUAUGGGCGUAAAGCGCGCGCCAGCGGUUUCCUAAGUCCUGAUGUGUAAACCCCCCGGGUCCACCGGGGGAGGGGCAUUGGAUUCCCCCGUGUAACCGUGGAAAUGCCGAGAA